CCUACGGGAGGCAGCAGUAGGGAAUCUUUCACAAUGGGCGAAAGCCUGAUGGAGCAACGCCGCGUGCAGGAUGAAGGCCUUCGGGUUGUAAACUGCUUUUAUAAGCGAGAAAUAUGAUGGUAACUUAUGAAUAAGGAUCGGCUAACUACGUGCCAGCAGCCGCGGUCAUACGUAGGAUCCGAGCAUUAUCCGGAGUGACUGGGUGUAAAGAGUUGCGUAGGUGGCAUAAUAAGUAGCUAGUGGAAUCUGGUGGCUCAACCAUUCAGACUAUUAGCUAAACUGUUAAGCUCGAGACCGUUAGGGGUAGCUGGAAUGUCUAGUGUAGGGGUGAAAUGCGUAGAUAUUAGGAGGAACACCAAUAGCGUAGGCAGGUUACUGGGACGGUUCUGACGCUAAGGCACGAAAGCGUAGGGAGCAAACGGGAUUAGAUACCCCAGUAGUC
rnacentral:rRNA from 1 species